rnacentral:rRNA from 1 species
UAUGUGAUCGUCUCUCGCAUAUCAAUAAGCGGAGGAAAAGAAACUAACAAGGAUUCCCUUAGUAACGGCGAGUGAAGCGGGAAGAGCUCAAAUUUGAAAUCUUCAAGGUUUUACCUUGACGAAUUGUAGUUUAAAGAAGUGUUUUCUGUUGAAGUUUUGGUAAAAGUUCUUUGGAAUAGGACAUCAUAGAGGGUGAGAAUCCCGUAUUUGACCAUUAUUUUCAGCUGUGUGAUACACUUUCAAAGAGUCGGAUUGUUUGGGAAUGCAGUCCAAAAUGGGUGGUAAAUUUCAUCUAAAGCUAAAUAUUGGCGAGAGACCGAUAGCGAACAAGUACCGUGAGGGAAAGACUGAAAAGAACUUUGAAAAGAGAGUUAAACAGUACGUGAAAUUGUCAAAAGGGAAGCGUUUGACACCAGUGUUGUUUUCUCGAAAAUCAAUUAAAAAGAGUUUGAUUUUGUUGUGUAUUGACCUUAACAGCUUGCAUUUCAAUUUUCUUGCUUUUUUUAAUGCACUUUUCGUUUAACAAGUCAACAUCAGUUUCUUUUGUUGUAAAAAGGUCAUUGGAAGGUGGCUUUCUUUUCGGAGAAAGUGUUUAUAGCCUUUGACUCCUGCAAUCGGAGAGACUGAGGUCUGCAGCGUAGAUCCUUCGGGGUUAGAUACAUUUGUGCUAAGUUAUAGCUUUUUAUAGACAACUUGUUGACUAUGAUUAGUCUUGUAGCUUACUCGCUUAUGCUAUUUUACCUACGCUUAGGAUGUUGAAGAUGUAGCACAUCAU